GGGACGCGAAGGGGCGUGGACCGUCGGACUGGGCCGCAAGGCGGUGUGGCUGGGAUGUGGUGUGGCCUGAUUAAACGUUGGGAUCGGGUGUAAGGCUAGACGCAAAGGCCCACUUCAUGCUAGUCCGGUACGGGGCGACGAGCAUUAGCAUUCAAGCACUCAAGCACUGUACUGAAUAUCCGUACACAGCAAACCGACUCAAUGUUCGACGCCCU
rnacentral:lncRNA from 1 species